UAGGGAAUCUUCGGCAAUGGGGGGAACCCUGACCGAGCAACGCCGCGUGAGUGAAGAAGGUUUUCGGAUCGUAAAGCUCUGUUGUUAGGGAAGAAAAAAUGUAUAGUAACUAUAUACAAAAGAGACGGUACCUAACCAGAAAGCCACGGCUAACUACGUGCCAGCAGCCGCGGUAAUACGUAGGUGGCAAGCGUUGUCCGGAAUUAUUGGGCGUAAAGCGCGCGCAGGUGGUUUAGAAAGUCUGAUGUGAAAGCCCACGGCUCAACCGUGGAGGGUCAUUGGAAACUAAUAAACUUGAGUGCAGGAGAGAAAAGUGGAAUUCCUAGUGUAGCGGUGAAAUGCGUAGAGAUUAGGAGGAACACCGGUGGCGAAAGCGGCUUUUUGGCCUGCAACUGACACUGAGGCGCGAAAGCGUGGGGAGCAAACAGG
rnacentral:rRNA from 1 species